rnacentral:rRNA from 1 species
CCGAGUAUAUGCGCCCCUGAUAAAGCACUGAUACUAACCACCGUAAGCUGUUGUGAUUGACCCUUUGGGGUUAACAUGGUGGCAAGCCGUGGGGCCUGAUGUGUGGUUCAAGCGAUGGGGUGACACAGUGGGGUAGCCAUGCCGCUUAGUGGAUUGUUGGUGUAAGCGUGUAGGUGAUGGUGUAGGUAAAUCCGCACUUGUUAUGCUGAGACGUGAUGCGUAGCCUUAAUUGGUGAAGUUGGUGAUCCCGUGCUGUCGAGAAAAGCCUCUAGCGAUGUAUAUACUCGGCCCGUACCCCAAACCGACACAGGUAGUCAGGUUGAAAAUACUAAGGCGUUCGGGUGAACUGUGGUUAAGGAACUCGGCAAAAUGCCCCCGUAACUUCGGGAGAAGGGGGACCCUAUGGCGUGAACACCCAUUUGCGGUGGGAAGCGUUGUGGGGUCGCAGAGAAUAGAGGGAAGCGACUGUUUAUCAAAAACACAGGUCCAUGCGAAGACGUUAAGUUGAUGUAUAUGGACUGACGCCUGCCCGGUGCUGGAAGGUUAAGAGGACCGGUUAAUCAAGCUUUGCUUGGUGAAGCUGAGAAUUUAAGCCCCAGUAAACGGCGGUGGUAACUAUAACCAUCCUAAGGUAGCGAAAUUCCUUGUCGGGUAAGUUCCGACCUGC